rnacentral:rRNA from 1 species
CAGUAGCCGCGGUAAUACAGAGGGUGCAAGCGUUAAUCGGAAUUACUGGGCGUAAAGCGCGCGUAGGUGGUUUGUUAAGUUGGAUGUGAAAGCCCCGGGCUCAACCUGGGAACUGCAUCCAAAACUGGCAAGCUAGAGUACGGUAGAGGGUGGUGGAAUUUCCUGUGUAGCGGUGAAAUGCGUAGAUAUAGGAAGGGACACCAGUGGCGAAGGCGACCACCUGGACUGAUACUGACACUGAGGUGCGAAAGCGUGGGGAGCAAACAGGAUUAGAGACCCCCGUAGUCCCUGUCUCUUAUAC